GAAGGAAUGGGCGCGUGGAUCGUAGCCUGAAAGACGAGUGUGAUACGGUGAAAGGAUGGAGGCUGUGCAAUGGGAGAAUAACUGGGGCUGAGAAGAAAGCCAAGGUCAUUGCAGGAAUGAAUGCUGUGGAAGAAAACCAGGGGCCCGGGGAGUCUCAGAAGGUGGAGGAGGCCAGCCCUCCUGCUGUGCAGCAGCCCACUGACCCCGCAUCCCCCACUGUGGCUACCACGCCUGAGCCCGUGGGGUCCGAUGCCGGGGACAAGAAUGCCACCAAAGCAGGCGAUGACGAGCCAGAGUACGAGGACGGCCGGGGCUUUGGCAUUGGGGAGCUGGUGUGGGGGAAACUGCGGGGCUUCUCCUGGUGGCCAGGCCGCAUUGUGUCUUGGUGGAUGACGGGCCGGAGCCGAGCAGCUGAAGGCACCCGCUGGGUCAUGUGGUUCGGAGACGGCAAAUUCUCAGUGGUGUGUGUUGAGAAGCUGAUGCCGCUGAGCUCGUUUUGCAGUGCGUUCCACCAGGCCACGUACAACAAGCAGCCCAUGUACCGCAAAGCCAUCUACGAGGUCCUGCAGGUGGCCAGCAGCCGCGCAGG
rnacentral:sRNA from 1 species